GCUUCGGUGACCCAGUGGUUAGAGUGUCCGCCUCGAAUGAGGGAGGUCGUGGGUUCUAUCCCCAAUCUUAGUCA